UACGUAGGGGGCAAGCGUUGUCCGGAAUUAUUGGGCGUAAAGAGCUCGUAGGCGGUUUGUCGCGUCUGCUGUGAAAACUGGAGGCUCAACCUCCAGCCUGCAGUGGGUACGGGCAAACUAGAGUGCGGUAGGGGAGAUUGGAAUUCCUGGUGUAGCGGUGGAAUGCGCAGAUAUCAGGAGGAACACCGAUGGCGAAGGCAGAUCUCUGGGCCGUAACUGACGCUGAGGAGCGAAAGCAUGGGGAGCGAACAGG
rnacentral:rRNA from 1 species